AAAGAUUAAGCCAUGCAUGUCUAAGUAUAAGCAACUAUACUGUGAAACUGCGAAUGGCUCAUUAAAUCAGUUAUCGUUUAUUUGAUAGUGCCCUACUACUUGGAUACCUUGUGGUAAUUCUAGAGCUAAUACAUGCGUAAAACCCCGACUUCGGAAGGGGUGUAUUUAUUAGAUAAAAACCAAUGCCCUUCGGGGCUCCUUGGUGAUUCAUAAUAACUAAACGAAUCGCAUGGCCUUGCGCCGGCGAUGGUUCAUUCAAAUUUCUGCCCUAUCAACUUUCGAUGGUAGUUUAGUGGACUACCAUGGUUU
rnacentral:rRNA from 1 species